CAUAUGAUCACUGGAGUUAAGCAACAUUGAGCCUGGUCAGUACUGGGAUAGGUAACCACUUGGGAAUAUUAGGUACUGUAA